AUAAAGUUUUAUUCUAGCUUGGAAAUUAAAUAUAAUUUUUAUUUAUAUAUAAAUUUUAGUGUGAAAGUUCAAUAAUUUUAAAUAAAUUAUUAAUGAAUGUAUUAGUAGUAAAUAAUUUUAAUAAUUAAGGAGACUUAGAAUUAGAAAUAAUUAAAAAUAUUAACAAAAUUUGUGCCAGCAGUUGCGGUUAUUCAAAUAAUAUAAUUUAAUUUAUUUAGUUUUAAUAAAUUUGAGUAUUAAUAAUUUUAAUUUAAGAUUUAUUAGGUGAAAUUUUAAAUUUUAUAAAAAAUUUAUGAUAAUUUAUGAAUUUGGGAAAUUUUAUUUUUAAACUAGGAUUAGAUACCCUAUUAUUUUUAAUGUAAAAGUGUGACUAGAUUAGUAUUAGGUAUGUUCUUGAAAAUUAAAGAAUUUGGCGGUAUUUUAGUCUAUUCAGAGGAAUCUGUUCUGUAAUUGAUGUUCCACGAUUAAAUUUACUUGUUUUUGUUAAUUUGUAUAUCGUCGUAGUUUGAAUAUUUUUUUAGAAUGUUAAUAUUCAAGAUUUUUGAUUUUAAAGAAAAUCAGAUCAAGGUGCAGUUUAUAAAUAAGUAGAAAUGGAUUACAAUAAAUUUAUUUAGAUGGAUGAUUUUUUUAAAAGAUUUUUGAAAUUGGAUUUGAGAGUAAUUUUUUUAUCUAACAAAAAUGAUUAUAGCUCUAAAAUAUGUACAUAUCGCCCGUCGCUUUCAUUACAAAGUGAAAUAAGUCGUAACAUAGUAGGCCUACUGGAAUGUGGGCCUAGAAAGA
rnacentral:ncRNA from 1 species